UACGGGGGGGAGCAAGCGUUGUUCGGAUUUACUGGGCGUAAAGCGUGCGUAGGCGGCUUUGCAAGUCGGGUGUGAAAUCCCCAGGCUUAACCUGGGAACUGCAUUCGAGACUGCAUUGCUAGAGUAUGGGAGAGGGAAGUGGAAUUUCCGGUGUAGCGGUGAAAUGCGUAGAUAUCGGAAGGAACAUCAGUGGCGAAAGCGACUUCCUGGACCAAUACUGACGCUCAUGUGCGAAAGCGUGGGGAGCAAACAGG
rnacentral:rRNA from 1 species